rnacentral:lncRNA from 1 species
AUGUCUCAUCUUUUAAUGCUUCUGUCGUUUUGCUUCAUCCAUCAUAGCGGAGCCUCCACAGUGAGUGAAAAACAGAGAGGAAUCGCCACACUGCCAUGUAAAUAUGAGGCCAAAGACAUUUCAGAUAUACGCUUUAUACGACAAGGAAAACCUGUACACUUUUCUGUUUGUGAAGAAUAUAAAAGAGGAAGUGGCCGAAUCUGUCAAAAAGGAGCAUGUGACAUCAUCAUCCAGAAUCUGAGCUUCAGUGACGCUGGGAAAUACAUUUUUAGAUUCAAUUACAAAAGUGCUCCGAUGGAUCAGACGUACCAACUUCAUGUUCAUGGUAAAGUCAAAACUGAUCAAAGCAUCAGAAUGCAUGUGCUUUCUGGACGUCCUUCAGUUCUUCUGUGGUAAUGCAUGCUGGACUCUAACCAUCAGAAUCAGUGAAUGGGACACGUCCUGAAUAAUAUCAGGGUUAGAGGUCACCGGUAAGCUUUUCAGUGGCUGAUGAUUACAUCUGGUUCCAUAAAUCUUAAUAUGUGCUUAUGGCCUGUAUGACAGUAUUAUGAGACAAUAUUAAUAAUAUUCUGUCUAAUAAUUUGUGUUUGUCCUCAGAUGAGAUGUGUGUGAAGAUCGGUGAGCAGCUGAAGUUAGAUGUUCUGUCGUCAGAAGCUGAUGAAGUGCAGCAUCAGAGCAGAAGAAGCACCGAGUGGAAAGAUGUUUGGACGAGAGGCCAUGGUGUUCAGAAUCAGCUCCUGAAUGAUAGAGAUGGAAACCUGAUCAUCAAUAACUUUACAGCCAGUGAUUCAGGAAAAUACAGAGUUCUGGGGUCUGAAGGAGAACGCUUGAUCACAGUGACUGUUAGAGGUGAGAGAAGCUCAGGACAUCUGGAAAUAUUAUUCAUUCACCAUGAGCUCUGUUUAUUCACUGAGCUUUGAAUAUCUUGUACAGAAUCUAAAGGAUCUUGCUCAGGUGAAAAACUCAGUAGUGAUGCUGCACAACACAGUAAGUAAAACCAGAGGCGAUUAACAGUGUAUUUAAGCAGUGAGCUUGAAACUAUAAUGUUUGUCUCCCCUUCUGCUGUAGGGCACUGGAUUGGACCGGCUGGGUUUGUUUGGGUGGUUCUUUGCCUUUUUUAAAAGAAGAACGAUACACUGGUGUCUAGAGGGAGGUCUGAGUAGGUCCUACAUGUGCUACAUCUGCCAUAUUGUAACGUGACCCGUCCUAAAAGUAGUAGAACGUCCAGGUAAUUUCUGACAGCUGUUUUAUAAGUAUUACAAGAUUUUAUUGCCAUCUGAAUCCAGAAUGUCAGUGUGUUUCUCCCACCACCCGUAUAGUUCCCCGACCGAAUUACCUACUGUUUUUUUAACAAACAAAAAGGUCAUGUGGUAAUUUCACUGCAUUUUUUUUGGCAGCAGUAAACAUCUACACUUUUAUUACUGAAAGAUAUAUAACAUAUUAUUGCACCAAAGGGCAUGUUAUGCAAUUUUUGAUGUUUGUAUGUAUGCAUGUAUUUAUUUAUUUAUUUAUUUAUUUAUUUAUUUAUUCAUUCAUUUUCAUGGACAUGUUAUAUAAUCUCUUUGACCCUAAUGUAAAUGACCCCUUUGACCCUCAAAUGGAACAUCAGUGUCUUUAAUGUCAGUGUAAGUCCCUCGAUUGUCCACCAGAGGUCUCACUCACCAGAGGAUUGACUAUUGGACUACAGUUCCCAGCAAGCCUCACACCUGGACUAAUUUCUGCUCACCUGAUACUUGCACACAGAUUAUUUAAAAACCGUGUUUUUGUUCUUCUUGAAGUCUUUUUUAUUGUGUAUCGACACAGCUCUAGCUGCCUGCCCUGGUCUGUUGUUUGCUGUGUUUGUUAGGCUUUACUGCCUAAACCACAUGGAUUCAGCCAGAGUCUGUGUUACAAUCAGACUGAAACGAUUAGGGAUCUUGUCUAAAAUAAGACAACUCAUAUGUGGAAUCUAUCAGCUAGGAGCUGCACAAUGUUUGACAUAUUUUACAUUGUUAUUGUCAGUUACGUAGACAAACUGAUUAAUACUAUUGUUUUUAUAGUGUUUAGAAUUAUCCCUUAUUACGAAAAUAAAUAAAUAAUUGUACAAUCUUUACUGUGUGCGCCAAACUUGUCAUUUCCUAAAAAUCACACUGUAUAAAUCUAAACAGUUUUCUCAUAUUACAAAAUAAAUGAGAGCAUGUGAAUUUUUAAAAACUGUUUUUAACUUAUUUUUGCACUAACUGCAAAUUAUAUGAAUAGUAUUUUUAGUAUUUUUUAUUUUUUU